AUUGAACGCUGGCGGCAUGCCUUACACAUGCAAGUCGAACGGCAGCACGGGAGCAAUCCUGGUGGCGAGUGGCGAACGGGUGAGUAAUAUACCGGAACGUGCCCAGUCGUGGGGAUAACGUAGCGAAAGCUACGCUAAUACCGCAUACGAUCUAUGGAUGAAAGCGGGGGAUCGCAAGACCUCGCGCGAUUGGAGCGGCCGAUAUCAGAUUAGGUAGUUGGUGAGGUAAAGGCUCACCAAGCCGACGAUCUGUAGCUGGUCUGAGAGGACGACCAGCCACACUGGGACUGAGACACGGCCCAGACUCCUACGGGAGGCAGCAGUGGGGAAUUUUGGACAAUGGGCGAAAGCCUGAUCCAGCAAUGCCGCGUGCAGGAAGAAGGCC
rnacentral:rRNA from 1 species